ensembl:lncRNA
ACGAGUAAUAUCUCUGUCUUGUCCGAAUUUAAUAGGAGAAAAUUAUUGGUCAUCCCUUUUACAUUUUUAACACACUCUGUUAGCUUAGAUAAUUUAGAAGUGUCAUCUGGUCUUGUUGAAAUAUAUAGUUGAGUAUCAUCAGCAUAACAAUGGAAACUAAUCCCGUAUUUUCUAAUAAUAUUACUGAGAGGCAACAUAUAUUGAAAAUAGCAGAGGGCCUAGGACAGAUCCUUAGAGUAAACAAGAUGGCGGCGCGGCCACACGCAGCGGCUUCUCUCUGUCCCGACAGAACGGUGUUUUCGUGUUUUUUGUCUUGUGAGUCGCAGUGUUUUUGCACGUUGUCGUCACGUCUACCUGUCUGUAAGCGCAAAUACAGUCGCGAGUUUCUGCUCGAUGUCGGCAGAACCGCAUUUUUACAGUUAAACUCCGCGCAAGCGGAACAGCUGCGGGAUCUCGAUCUGCUACGGAGGCCUUCACCAUCAUCGACCCCCACUACUGCAUCUCGCCCGCAGCGGAGGCGCCACAAGCGGCGUGAGAGGAAGCAGAAGAGGGGGAAGCGCGGAGGUAUCCGGGCUAGGCUAACGGCUAACCCACACAAGCCAUCUGUCCCCACCAUCGUACUGGCUAACGUACGCUCGUUGGACAAUAAACUGGACUACAUUCGUUUACUACGCUCAACUCAGAGGACUGUAAGAGACUGUUGUGUUUUUGUGUUCACGGAAACAUGGCUCAGCAACAGCGUUCCAGAUGGCGCUAUUCAGCUCGACCAGCUGACGUGCUAUCGAGCGGACAGAGCUCUCGUCGCGGGAGGAAAAACCCGCGGCGGCGGGCUUUGUGUUUACAUCAAUGACGCGUGGUGCCGCGAUACUGUUGUGAUCAGCAAACACUGCUCAACCCUGGUGGAGUUUAUGAUUAUUAAGUGCCGGCCGUUCUAUCUACCAAAUGGAAUAUACAGCCAUACUGCUCGUUGCUGUUUACAUUCCUCCUUGCUCCAACAUCAACAACAGGAGUGAGGCACUGAAUGAACUGUACCAGCACAUCAGUGAGCACCAGACAGCCCACCCUGGUGCUUUUCUCAUCUUGGCUGGGGAUUUCAACCGUGCAGACUUAAAGAGUGUGUUCCCAAAAAUACACCAAUACAUUAACUUUCCAACAAGAGGUAAAACAUUUUUGGAUUUUGUUUACACUACCCAGAAAGGAACUUACAAAGCCCUCCCCCACCCCCACCUUGGUUCCUC